AGAGGGUGCGAGCGUUAAUCGGAAUUACUGGGCGUAAAGGGCGCGUAGGUGGAAAAUUAAGUUGGGUGUGAAAUCCCCGGGCUCAACCUGGGCAAGCCAUCCGAAACUGGUUAUCUAGAGUACAGUAGAGGGAAGUGGAAUUUCCGGUGUAGCGGUGAAAUGCGUAGAUAUCGGAAGGAACAUCAGUGGCGAAGGCGACUUCCUGGACUGAUACUGACACUGAGGCGCGAAAGCGUGGGUAGCAAACAGGAUUAGAUACCCUGGUAGUCCACGCCGUAAACGAUGAGAACUAGCUGUUGGUGAUUUAAAAAUCAUAAGUGGCGCAGCAAACGCGUUAAGUUCUCCGCCUGGGGGAGUACGGCCGCAAGGUUA
rnacentral:rRNA from 1 species